ACUAUUUUGGCAGAUAAGUGCUUUGAAGUUAGAUUUCAAUUAUGUAAUAAUUUAUGUUACAAUUAGUA
rnacentral:tRNA from 1 species